rnacentral:rRNA from 1 species
CGGAUGAACGCUAGCGGCAGGCCUAAUACAUGCAAGUCGUACGGCAACACAGUUGCGAGCAAUCGCAACCGGUGGCGAGUGGCGCACGGGUGAGUAACGCGUAUGUAACCUACCCUUCUCCGGGACAUAACUCCGCGAAAGCGGUGCUAAUAUCCCAUACCAACUCAUCAAGACAUCUUCUUGAGUUGAAAGCAGCAAUGCGGUGAAGGAUGGGCAUGCGUCCCAUUAGCUGGUUGGUGAGGUAAUGGCCCACCAAGGCUACGAUGGGUAGGGGUUCUGAGAGGAAAGCCCCCCACACUGGUACUGAGACACGGACCAGACUCCUACGGGAGGCAGCAGUAAGGAAUAUUGGGCAAUGGUCGAAAGACUGACCCAGCCAUGCCGCGUGCAGGAUGAAGGCCCUAUGGGUUGUAAACUGCUUUAGCCGGGAAUAAACACCCGUUUUAUAACGGGCCCGAAGGUACCGGCUGAAUAAGCAUCGGCUAACUACGUG